rnacentral:rRNA from 1 species
CCUACGGGAGGCAGCAGUAGGGAAUCUUUCACAAUGGGCGAAAGCCUGAUGGAGCAACGCCGCGUGCAGGAUGAAGGCCUUCGGGUUGUACACUGCUUUUAUAAGCGAGAAAUAUGAUGGUAACUUAUGAAUAAGGAUCGGCUAACUACGUGCCAGCAGCCGCGGUCAUACGUAGGAUCCGAGCAUUAUCCGGAGUGACUGGGUGUAAAGAGUUGCGUAGGUGGCAUAAUAAGUAGCUAGUGAAAUCUGGUGGCUCAACCAUUCAGACUAUUAGCUAAACUGUUAAGCUCGAGACCGUUAGGGGUAACUGGAAUGUCUAGUGUAGGAGUGAAAUCCGUAGAUAUUAGAAGGAACACCAAUAGCGUAGGCAGGUUGCUGGGACGGUUCUGACACUAAGGCACGAAAGCGUAGGGAGCAAACGGGAUUAGAUACCCCUGUAGUC